UUUGAUUAAAAACUCAAUGGACACUGGUUAUGUCAAUAAGUCAUGUGGCAUUUGUGAGUGUGCAUUUGAAUCUCUGUUGGCUCUUAGUUUAAUGGGAAAAACAAUCCUCCACAUUAUAUUAAGAUAUUUACAUAUCAUGAUGUUGUUUAUUUUAUUUGACUGAUUUAUUCGAAUUGUGAUUGUAUAGGUUGUAUUUCUGGGGUAUGAGAGUGCAAGUUAUGAGAAAGCUUGUAGCCUCCAUUGAAACUCAUCCCAGCAAAGAAGUUCAAGAAGUAUAUUGAAGUCCUUCUUGGCUAAAAUUUACAAGAGGCAGAAGUAGAUUUCCCUUGUAAGACAAAGACCAACAUUGUUUGAAGAUGCAAUAGGAAAUAGCUAGAGUCCUGUUUUAUGUGUGGAGCUGAAAUUUUCAAAAUCAAAUUUCUUACCAUCUCCUUUUUAGGGGGUGAUUAAUCUUGUUGUACUUUGUUAUAAUUUUGGAUCCACGAGUUAGGGAUUAGAGGGACAUAGGCAAGUUGAAAUUUUAUUUGGUACGAGCAUGGGUAGUCGUUGACUAAGAAUUAAAUGUAAUCUCUUAUUUUUUAAUCACUUACAUCGCUAAAUACCAUACUAAGG
rnacentral:lncRNA from 1 species